AAUCUAAACACACGUUACGGUGGAAAUGUUAAAGGUUAAUUUUAGUUCAUCAAUGUCGCGUAAAGCUUCUGACAAAGACGUAAAGCCCGCUGCCCGAGCCGUCCAUCUCUCAGCAUCAACCGACGCUGCCGGACCGGAGCUGAGCAUCUUCGAAUCGUUGAGGAUGAAGAAAGGCGUGAAGCAUCUUAUUUCCAUGGCUGCGGUGUGCUCUGGUGGGACCUGCGUCUAUGCUGGUUAUAACAUUUUCAGGGGGAAUGAAAAGUUCUAUGAUAAUAUUCUUAUCCCACUGUUGCACUGCCUCAACCCUGAAACGGCUCACAACUUUGCAGUUCAAGCAUCCAAGUUUAAGUUGAUUCCACACAGUCACUUUAAAGAUCCUGAAUGUUUGACAACCAAUGUGUGGAACAUAAAAUUUGCUAAUCCCGUUGGCAUGGCUGCUGGAUUUGAUAAACAAGGUGGAGCUGUAGAGGGUUUGCUCCAGGUUGGGUUUGGAUUUGUAGAGAUUGGCUCUGUCACUCCUAUGCCCCAGCCAGGGAACCCUCAGCCUCGAGUUUUUCGAUUGCCAGAAGAUAGUGCUGUCAUUAACAGAUACGGCUUUAAUAGUGAUGGCCAUGUUGCUGUUCAUCAACGACUUAAGAACUUACGUGAAAACGGGACCGAUGGUAUUAUUGGGGUGAAUCUAGGUAAAAAUAAAACGUCAAGUGACCCUGUACAGGACUACGUAGAUGGAAUCAAGAUGUUUGGAGAUGUAGCAGAUUAUCUCGUAAUAAACGUGUCAAGCCCCAAUACUCCUGGUCUCCGAAACUGGCAGAACAGUAGCCAGCUUCAAGAACUUCUCACAGCUUUGGUGUCAGCCAGGAACGAACUCCCACAACUGAUCAAACCACCACUUCUUUUGAAGCUAGCUCCUGAUUUGACGCAACAAGAAAGAAAAGAUAUUGCUAGAGUCAUUUCCCGCAAGGAGUGCGCAGUUGAUGGUUUGAUAAUAUCGAACACAACAGUUUCUCGAGAGAACCUUCAAAGCCCUGCUGCCGGAGAACAGGGAGGGUUAAGUGGGAAGCCAUUGGCCGUCUCGUCAACUAGUUUAAUAAAAGACAUGUUUGUUUUAACCAAAGGUGAAGUUCCUAUUGUGGGAGUUGGUGGAAUAUUUACUGGCAAGGAUGCUUAUGAGAAGAUUAGAGCUGGUGCAAGCCUUGUACAGUUCUACACAGCUUACAUAUAUCAUGGACCCCCAAGAAUUACGAAAAUCAAACAGGAGCUGAGUCACCUUUUAAGUGCUGAUGGGUAUACAAACGUGGCAGAGGCUGUUGGAAAGGACGUGGAAGUUUGAUUUCCGAUUUAAGAAGUAUUGCUGUUAGCCGAUACCAGUGCAGGCUCUGUGGCUGGAGUGGUGAGCAAUCAGCUACCAGGAUUUCUUUCCUGGGGGUUGAUCCAACCGACCACCCGGGGUGCUAAUCCCCGUUACCCGAAACGUGGCCCGAAAUAAUGGCAAUUCAAGCACGGGUGGAGCGGAUCAGCAGUACACCUCACCUCUCCUCGGUGUUCUGGAAAAGGAGAACCGAUGUCGUCCAGCGACGAAUUACAGAAGGGACUAUAUGAGUGUUCACGCCGCCGAGCUGUACUUACCGCCACUUGCUGCACGAGGCAUGGCUGCAGCGUGCAACGUGUUGGUGCAGUAAGGGCUUAAAUUCAGCAAAUGAUGAGCCUGGACUAAGCAGCUGCCCCGUGCCAGAUUUUUGGUGUUUAGUCAAAUUUGCAACGUUCGUGCAUUUCUUCAGAUUUGAAUAAUAACGAGGAUAUUAUUGAUCCUGUGCGCGCGAGCAUGCAAUUACUUUUGUUGAUGUUUUCACAAUGUUCGAAUCAUGUUAAAAUUUUAAUUAUGUUUCUUA
rnacentral:misc_RNA from 1 species